AUACUCCACAGAGGUUUAGCUCGAGGCUAACAUUAUUGAUUCAUUUUCUCACCUCACUACUCGGUCUCAUAAGCAGUUGUGCUCUCGUGAAGGAACCUUACCUGCAACGAGAAAAUCAUAGCCGAGGAGCUAAGCUGGAACAAUACCUGAACCGAGUCGAGGAGCUAACUGAGAGAAGCAUAUCCGAUUAUUUCAUUUCGUCAAAUCAACACAU